rnacentral:rRNA from 1 species
UACGGAGGAUCCGAGCGUUAUCCGGAUUUAUUGGGUUUAAAGGGUGCGCAGGCGGGAGAUUAAGUCGGCGGUGAAAUUUUGCAGCUCAACUGUAAAAGUGCCUUCGAAACUGGUUUCCUUGAGUGUAGAUGAAGUAGGCGGAAUUUGUGGUGUAGCGGUGAAAUGCAUAGAUAUCACGAGGAACUCCGAUUGCGCAGGCAGCUUACUAAACUACUACUGACGCUCAGGCACGAAGGCGUGGGGAUCAAACAGGAUUAGAUACCCCUGUAGU